rnacentral:rRNA from 1 species
UACGGAGGGUGCAAGCGUUAUCCGGAUUCACUGGGUUAAAGGGUGCGUAGGUGGGUCUGUAAGUCAGUGGUGAAAUCUCCGAGCUUAACUUGGAAACUGCCAUUGAUACUAUAGGUCUUGAAUACUGUGGAGGUCACGGAAUAUGUCAUGUAGCGGUGAAAUGCUUAGAUAUGACAUAGAACACCAAUUGCGAAGGCAGCUGGCUACACAAAUAUUGACACUGAGGCACGAAAGCGUGGGGAUCAAACAGG